rnacentral:rRNA from 1 species
UUCCAGACUCCUACGGGAGGCAGCAGUGGGGAAUAUUGGACAAUGGGGGGAACCCUGAUCCAGCGACGCCGCGUGAGUGAAGAAGUAUUUCGGUAUGUAAAGCUCUAUCAGCAGGGAAGAAAGAAAUGACGGUACCUGACUAAGAAGCCCGGCUAACUACGUGCCAGCAGCCGCGGUAAUACGUAGGGGGCAAGCGUUAUCCGGAUUUACUGGGUGUAAAGGGAGCGUAGACGGCGAUGCAAGUCUGAAGUGAAAGGCGGGGGCCCAACCCCCGGACUGCUUUGGAAACUGUAUAGCUGGAGUGCAGGAGGGGCAGGCGGAAUUCCUGGUGUAGCGGUGAAAUGCGUAGAUAUCAGGAGGAACACCGGUGGCGAAGGCGGCCUGCUGGACUGCGACUGACGUUGAGGCCCGAAAGCGUGGGGAGCAAACAGGAUUAGAUACCCUCGUA